rnacentral:miRNA from 1 species
UCCAGCUGUUUUGGGACUACAAUUCCCAUCAUCCCUGAUCACUGGUCCUGUUGGCUAGGGAUGAUGGGAGAUGUAGUCCCAAGACAGCUGGA